rnacentral:rRNA from 1 species
GGAAUCUUCCACAAUGGACGAAAGUCUGAUGGAGCAACGCCGCGUGUGUGAUGAAGGGUUUCGGCUCGUAAAACACUGUUGUAAGAGAAGAAUGACAUUGAGAGUAACUGUUCAAUGUGUGACGGUAUCUUACCAGAAAGGAACGGCUAAAUACGUGCCAG